GCUUUUAUCUAAAAACCAAAUCAAAGAGUUACCAUCAACUUUAUUUGUCAACCUAACCAAGCUUGAGACAAUAAAAAUAGAGAGAAAUAGAUUAGAGUCGCUCCAUCAUAAACAAUUUCGCGGACUGGCAAAGCUGCAUGACCUUUAUUUGUCGGGAAACAAACUCCAACAUUUGCCAAAAGGAAUUUUCAAAGGCCUAAAUAAUCUUUUGAUUAU